rnacentral:rRNA from 1 species
CCUACGGGAGGCAGCAGUGGGGAAUAUUGGACAAUGGGCGAAAGCCUGAUCCAGCCAUGCCGCGUGUGUGAAGAAGGCCUUCGGGUUGUAAAGCACUUUCAUUGGGGAAGAAAGCCUUGGGGCUAAUACCCUCGAGGAAGGACAUCACCCACAGAAGAAGCACCGGCUAACUCCGUGCCAGCAGCCGCGGUAAUACGGAGGGUGCGAGCGUUAAUCGGAAUUACUGGGCGUAAAGCGCGCGUAGGCGGUCUGAUAAGCCGGUUGUGAAAGCCCCGGGCUCAACCUGGGAACGGCAUCCGGAACUGUCAGGCUAGAGUGCAGGAGAGGAAGGUAGAAUUCCAGGUGUAGCGGUGAAAUGCGUAGAGAUCGGGAGGAAUACCAGUGGCGAAGGCGGCCUUCUGGACUGACACUGACGCUGAGGUGCGAAAGCGUGGGUAGCAAACAGGAUUAGAUACCCCGGUAGUC